AAGCCAGUUCAUGCUUUUAUAGUAUGAAAAUUGGUGAUUUAUAAUAACUUAGCAAAUCGCAAAGUGAAAACAGGCGAUAAAUCAUUCAAGUUUCUGACCUAUCAGCUUUCGACGGUAUGGUAUUGGCUUACCGUGGCAGUGACGGUUAACGGGGGAUUAGGGUUCGAUUCCGGAGAGGGAGCCUGAGAAACGGCUACCACAUCUAAGGAAGGCAGCAGGCGCGCAAAUUACCCAAUUCUAACAGUUUGAGAGAGGUAGUAACAAGAAAUAACAAUACAAGGCAGUUAAAAUGCUUUGUAAUUGGAAUGAUAGAAAUUUAAACCCUUUUUAAAGUAUCAAUUGGAGGGCAAGUCUGGUGCCAGCAGCCGCGGUAAUUCCAGCUCCAAUAGCGUAUAUUAAAAUUGUUGCAGUUAAAAAGCUCGUAGUUGAAGUUCUGCUGAAAGUAACCGGUCUGCUUUUAAUAAAAGUGGUAUCUUGGUAUGUAUUUAGCAAUGAUGUCCUUUGAAGUGUUUUUUACUUUAUUGUAAUAAAGCAUAUUCAGGACUUUUACUUUGAAAAAAUUAAAGUGUUUCUAGCAGGCUAACGCUUUGAAUACUGCAGCAUGGAAUAA
rnacentral:rRNA from 1 species